AUGCCUUCCACUCUCUGUCUCUCCAGAGGUGUUCACUCCCAGAUUCAGCUGCAGCAGUGUGGCUCUGAUCUGCAGAGGCCUGGGGCUUCAGGGAAGUUGUCCUGCAAGAAUUCUUACUUCAGCUUCAGGAGGCAGUUCCUCAGCAGCUACUGUAUGAGCUGGGUGAAAAAGAGACCUGAACAGGGCAUGGAAUGGAUUGGUUAUAUUAAUCUUUACAGUGGUGACACUAGCUAUAAUCAGAAGUUCAAAGGGAAGGCCACAUUAAGUACAGACACAUCCACCAAAACAGCUUACAUGGAACUCAGCAGCCUGGUAUCUGAAGACUCUGUGGUCUAUUACUGUGCAAGACACAGUGUUGUAACCACAUCCUGA